rnacentral:rRNA from 1 species
UCGAACGCGGUUGCCCCGCAAGGGGUGACUGAGUGGCGAACGGGUGAGUAACACGUGGGUGACCUACCCUCGAGUGGGGGAUAACAUCCCGAAAGGGGUGCUAAUACCGCAUGACAUCCUGUCUUUGAACAGAUGGACAUUAAAGCCGGGGAUCGUAAGACCUGGCGCUCGUGGAGGGGCCCGCGCCCGAUUAGCUAGUUGGUGAGGUAACGGCUCACCAAGGCUUCGAUCGGUAUCCGGCCUGAGAGGGCGGACGGACACACUGGGACUGAGACACGGCCCAGACUCCUACGGGAGGCAGCAGUGGGGAAUUGUUCGCAAUGGGCGAAAGCCUGACGACGCAACGCCGCGUGGAGGACGAAGAUCUUCGGGUCGUAAACUCCUUUCGAUCGGGACGAAUGAUCGGCGACCUAAUACGUUGCCGGAAUGACGGUACCGAGAGAAGAAGCCCCGGCUAACUCCGUGCCAGCAGCCGCGGUAAUACGGGGGGGGCAAGCGUUGUUCGGAGUUACUGGGCGUAAAGGGCGCGUAGGCGGCCUUCUAAGUCAGACGUGAAAUCCCUCGGCUCAACCGAGGAACUGCGUCUGAUACUGGAAGGCUUGAAUCCGGGAGAGGGAUGUGGAAUUCCAGGUGUAGCGGUGAAAUGCGUAGAUAUCUGGAGGAACACCGGUGGCGAAGGCGGCAUCCUGGACCGGUAUUGACGCUGAGGCGCGAAAGCUAGGGGAGCAAACGGGAUUAGAUACCCCGGUAGUCCUAGCCCUAAACGAUGAGUGCUUGGUGUGGCGGGUAUCGAUCCCUGCCGUGCCGAAGCUAACGCAUUAAGCAC